rnacentral:rRNA from 1 species
UACGGAGGGUGCGAGCGUUGUCCGGAAUCACUGGGCGUAAAGGGCGCGUAGGCGGCCUGAUAAGUAGGGGGUGAAAUCCUGCGGCUUAACCGCAGGGCUGCCUUCUAAACUGUCAGGCUUGAGCACAGUAGAGGCAGGUGGAAUUCCCGGUGUAGCGGUGGAAUGCGUAGAGAUCGGGGAAGAACAUCUGUGGCGAAGGCGGCCAGCUGGGCUGUUGCUGACGCUGAUGCGCGACAGCGUGGGGAGCAAACAGG